GGCGGUAGCUUAGCGGUUGGGGCAGUUCACUCCAAAGUAAUUAAUCACAGGUUCGAAACCAGUUUCAGCU
rnacentral:tRNA from 1 species